rnacentral:misc_RNA from 2 species
UGUGGGAGCGAGUUUGCUCGCGAUAGCGUCCGUUCAGUUGGCAUUCAUGUUGACUGACCCGCCGCCAUCGCGAGCAAGCUCGCUCCCACA